UUAGGCAGCGACAUCCGCUUGUUCGUUCUUGCUCAGGACUUGCCCAAGAGCAUGUUGCCUUGGCUCUUUUCGGUACACUGUGUUGCAUGCCGACAGUGAUGGAAUUUUGACGGUGCCGUUUGUCCCUAAAUUCACCUUGUGUUGCUCAUGCGGUGCGGGGUGAACAACGUAGUGCCUCGUGUUGUCCUGACUGUCAGCACUUCGUGUGUUGUCGGUGUGGCCGACGCGGGAGACUCGAACUCUCGGAUACAGAACGUAAAGUUGGGCGUAUGGGGUCUAGCACUCCGUAAGCCCAGAUUGAGCGCUCUCGCCAACGACGUUGCUCUUCUAGGGAAAGCUGGAAAGCUGUUGUUGGGCAGAGAAUGUCGAAAGACAGACUGUCGAACCUCGUCCCGUUGGGGUCCGGAGGCGUACGAGAGUACGGCCGAAGGCUGCUCGGGCGGGGGUGCUUCGACAAUGUUUGCCAAGGAAUGCUACCUGG
rnacentral:misc_RNA from 1 species